UACGUAGGGUGCGAGCGUUAAUCGGAAUUACUGGGCGUAAAGCGCACGUAGGCGGCUUUGUAAGUUAGAGGUGAAAGCCCGGGGCUCAACUCCGGAAUUGCCUUUAAGACUGCAUCGCUAGAAUUGUGGAGAGGUAAGUGGAAUUCCGAGUGUAGAGGUGAAAUUCGUAGAUAUUCGGAAGAACACCAGUGGCGAAGGCGACUUACUGGACACAUAUUGACGCUGAGGUGCGAAAGCGUGGGGGAGCAAACAGG
rnacentral:rRNA from 1 species